UAUUUCCGAAAUGAGUAUUCACAAAUAUUCUGGAACAGGCGAACGUCGAGCUGGAAGCCUCCUUGAAGCUGCGUCUGAACAGACUGUGCCGUUUUCAGCCGAGCGGCAGAGUCAGGCGUGGAGACUGAGAACUGUGGCCUCGUCUCACGAACGGGACUUAAUCUUAUCUAGGAAGUCCUCCCGCACGCUCCUCCAGAAUGCUAUUUAAUAAGCACGGUGCAGGACACUGUUUUCUUUCAUUCUUCACACGUGACCUCAGUCAACUGUCUUUAUCAGCUGUAUUCUCUUCACGGAAUUGAGCCUCGUACAAAUGAGCUGAUAAUGCACCUUUUGAUCAUUCUUUCCGGGGGGUGAAUGUUUCCAAUACGCCCAGGCUGUUCCUACCACACCCCUAAACAUAUAUAUAUGUACUUCUUUAUGAACACGUGAUCACUGUGUAGAAAGGAGUGGGAGGAGAGGCCGUGAUGAAAGCAUGUCUUUUGAAGAGGUUAAGAAUCCGAGUCUUAACCUUAGAUUCUCGUUGCCACACUGAGAAUGACUAUUGCAUCGACCUUCGGUUUGGCAUGGACGUAAAGCAGGUCGAAGGUUUGCACACAGAUCACCCCAUACUAUGUUUACCCUCCAGCCUCGACCCGACCUGUUCCAGAAGUAUUUCCACUUAAUAUGCAAAGUCUGAAGAACAAAUCGGUUCAGUAACUUGCCCAGAGUCACAAGACCAGCAAGCGGCAGGACAAGAAUGUAAACCUAGACGGUCUGGCCCGGAGUCCGUGCUCUCAGCCACUAGUCCAUCGCCCCUCCUCGCUCUUUGCCUUUUUUCCCCUUGAGGUGACCUCCCAGUAAUCACCUCUUUUCAAUCCGCUCCUCCCCACCCCAAACUCACAAGCGACAGAUUUAAGGGUACGGUGGCGAGAACAGAAGUCACAAAAAGAGCGAGUCCCGGUCCUGCCUCCUCGGCCGUGUCACCUGGGCACCCUGUAAACGCUCUGAGUCCCAGUUUCCUAAGAGAAGAGGUGGAUCCCUCCCAACGGGAAAAUCAAGACAGAAUCCGCCGAGCAGAAGGGAGCUGCUUCAUGACAGCGACACUUGGACCUUCCUCACUGGCUUUAUACCACCACCACCACCUGCAGGGGCAGACGCUGGUGACAUGCAGGGUCCAGCUCCACGUCACCUCCAGCACAGGCGGCGACAGCGGGGGUUCUUACCCUACACAUGCCUCAUACCGCGAAGUCUUUCUGGGGCCUCUUUCUAUAUCAAAGUGAUUCCAGCUACAGCGACUGAAGAGAUUCCAAGGGCGCCCUUCCAUGUCACUGAACAGUAAAUAGAUCAAGUUGUAUCUGGCAGCGUCAGGAGCAGAGAAAACUGCGGACUUCAAAAAAGCAACCACAAAGGGCCCUUCCUCACAAGCUCCAAACCAAACGCGGGGGACCCUUUUAUCGGCGCCACCUGACGAGGGGCUUAUCUCUCUUCCCUGCCGGUCUGUGAGCUGGUUUCACUUUCCCGUGAGUGUUGUUCAGAGCUUCUAAUGUCACUCUGAUGAGACGCCAAACCGACCUGUUGGAAGAGUCGCUCUGAUUAGUCUUCCAUUUCCCCAGCAAAGAAAACAAGGAGUUUGUCAAACAUGGCCCAGGCCCAGGCGCCCGAGAGCCACCCCAUCUGACCUUCGGUUACUGUGACAGGGAAUGGCCUUCCUGCCUGACGACUGUGACUAAUUCGAUUCCACAGGCCCAGCCAGCCUGCUCGCACUGAUGGCUUUGGGGUCAAUUACCAUUUGGGGGCAGAUUAGACUCUGAUCUGAAGCUGAAAAACUCCACCGCUGCCACCAAUUCUCCGAACUUCCCAAUCCUAACUAGGGCAGAUUUCAGAAAGGAGCAUCUCUCCUUUCACAAUCUACCUGAGUAUGGUCUGUAAUGGUUUGGCUUAAUCAAAAAAUUAAUUGAACUCCGGCUCUAAAGUUCUCAACACAAGAGUCGGAGGUAGGCAGGGGACCUGGCCAGCUGCCUCGGUUCCAUCCAGGCCUCUCGGAGCCAGGAAUAUCCAUGGGGCUUUAAGCAUUUCAAACAGCAACGGCCAACUUUCCGUAAUAGCGGACUCUGGCAAACCUACAAAAGCAAGGCCUGCUCUGCGGUAGUUUUUACUGCAGAAAAUUAAGUUUUAAUAGAUGAAAUGAAACCAAUAGUCAAGAAACUGACCUCUGCUGUUUUCUAAUAUUAAUCUGGGUAAUAAGUGACAAAGUUAAUGAAAAUGGACCGUCGGUGGGGGGCGGGGGAGGUAGAUGGGGUAAAGGGGGUCAAACCCGCGGUGACAGAAAGAGGUGAACACACAGUGUAAAUAUAUUUAUGCCUUACUGUUAAAGUGUACAGCUGAAACUUAUUGGAUUUCGUUAACCAGUGUCACCACAAAAAAAAUUAAUUAAAAAAAAAAAUGGACUGCCAAUGGCGCCGCUGAGAUCAGCUGCGGCUGUUAAAUGACUUUGAGGCUGGGGGUGUCGAGGGCAUCCCCCGGGAAACCACCACCCUUCCUCACGCUCGGACCCUCACCGGUACGUUACUAACUUGAUUAGUCAUUUUUUUCCAACAGAAACAUGAGGUUUUGUUCCAUGAAAUGAGUCGACUUUUCAGAAUGGAGGCUGAACGCAGCACCCCACAGGCCGAACCUGACUGCAGAAUCAUUUAUUAGCUCUUCGCAGUGUUUGGUUUUUAAAUCGUCAUCGGAUGCCAACAAGGAAAACUCAGAAGCCUUCACACGCAAAUGCAGGCGACAAUUCUACGUGCCGCUGGAACACGUGAUCUGUUUUCAAAAGGUGAUCAGCAAGAGGACCAGGAUUCUGAGGUUCUCGUGGAAGAAAGGCCCGCUGCCUUAUGUUAUGUCGACAAGAGAACUCUCGAUAAAGACAGUCGGUGGAAACGGACUUUACCAAGACACCGGUUUGGAGCCAUUACCCCACCGCACCGCAGCCCAGAAAAACACCUACUAAAAUGAACAGCACCUUCCACUUCUUAUUUUCCUGAAGUGUCAUAUGGACCACACAGAUGCUUUGUCAAAAAAAAAGAAAAGAAAAGAAAGGAACAAAAGAAAAGAAAAGAAAAAGGGAGGAGGGAGGGAAGAGGAAUAAAAGGAAAACUUCUAAUCGGCGGAGCUCCGUCCUCCAUGGUAAGCUGGAGGCCGGGCCACGCAGUCUGAGGCAUCAGUGUCAUGUGAUGUCUUCCAACAAGGAAGUCACUCAAGAUCACCCCCCCAUCGUUCCCCACCCCCUAACGCUUUCUAAUCAUGCUUAUAAGGUUUUCAAAAAGAAGACAUGACUAGCUUCCCACUCAGCUCAUCGUGUACACCCUGAAAAUAAAGGUUGUCCAGGAUUGGGGACCAAGGCAGAUUUAAAAACAAACCUCAAUUCCCUCCAUGCUUCAGCGGGGCAGGAAAUCAGUUAGAGGCACAGACCCAAAACAAGAGCUCCUUACCAAGCGACAAAAAAGAUAAGCAUGCAGGUAAAGGAGACUACAGACACUGGCCAUGCCCCCUUACAAAUGACGGAGGGAGCAGUCUGCAUCUGAUCAGAUUUUCAUUUGAUGCAAGUGGUGUCAAAAGUAAAUGCCCUCGAGAAACAUCUGGGAGAAGGAAGAAUCCCAGGACUAAGACUGCAAAGGCUAUGAUUCUGGCUACAAAUGCCACUGGAGACUUAAUCGAGACACUGGUUUUAUGAGGAGAGUUAUUGUUUUUGUCAGUGCCCUGGUUACAAAGUUCCUUAAGUUUUCAGUGGCCCGCCCCUAGCUCUAUUUUUCCUUUAUGCUCCCUAUGCUUUGCACGCAAUUGUGCAGAAGAUGAGGUUUUCGAGAAUGCAUAUAGGGCAUUAAAGCUGAAAUUAUUACACUA